UACGUAGGGCGCAAGCGUUAUCCGGAAUUAUUGGGCGUAAAGAGCUCGUAGGCGGUUUGUCGCGUCUGCCGUGAAAACUCACAGCUCAACUGUGGGCGUGCGGGCGAUACGGGCAGACUAGAGUACUGCAGGGGAGACUGGAAGUUCCUGGUGUAGCGGUGGAAUGCGCAGAUAUCAGGAGGAACACCGGUGGCGAAGGCGGCUUCCUGGUCUGCGACUGACGCUGUGGCGCGAAAGCUAGGGGAGCGAACGGG
rnacentral:rRNA from 1 species